GCACAUGGUCAGGUUAUCUCUUUACCGUCAUUUGAGGGUAGAUUUAAUCCUGCUAUUUAUCUAGCUUGGGAGCUUGAAGUAGAACAAGUUUUUAGUUACCAUGACUUUUCUGAAGUUGAGCGAGUACGAGCUGCCACUAGAGCAUUUACUGGUUUUGCUUCUGUUUGGUGGAGUGUGCAUU